ACGGGAGGCAGCAGUGAGGAAUAUUGGUCAAUGGGCGAGAGCCUGAACCAGCCAAGUAGCGUGAAGGAUGACGGCCCUAUGGGUUGUAAACUUCUUUUAUGCCGGAGUAAAAAGGCCCACGUGUGGGUCCUUGCAAGUACGGCAGGAAUAAGCAUCGGCUAACUCCGUGCCAGCAGCCGCGGUAAUACGGAGGAUGCGAGCGUUAUCCGGAUUUAUUGGGUUUAAAGGGAGCGUAGGCGGGUUGUUAAGUCAGCUGUGAAAUCCUGAUGCUCAACAUCAGCACUGCAGUUGAUACUGGCGACCUUGAGUGCGGUAGAGGCGGGCGGAAUUCAUGGUGUAGCGGUGAAAUGCUUAGAUAUCAUGAAGAACUCCGAUUGCGAAGGCAGCUCGCUGGACCGCAACUGACGCUGAAGCUCGAAAGUGCGGGUAUCAAACAGGAUUAGAUACCCUGGUA
rnacentral:rRNA from 1 species